rnacentral:misc_RNA from 1 species
GAUGAAGAACGUAGUGAAAUGCGAUAAGUAAUGCGAAUUGCAGAAUUCAGUGAAUCAUCGAAUCUUUGAACGCACAUUGCGCCCGCCAGUAUUCUGGCGGGCAUGCCUGUUCGAGCGUCAUUACAACCCUCAGGCCCCCGGGCCUGGCGUUGGGGAUCGGCGGAAGCCCCCUGCGGGCACAACGCCGUCCCCCAAAUACAGUGGCGGUCCCGCCGCAGCUUCCAUUGCGUAGUAGCUAACACCUCGCAACUGGAGAGCGGCGCGGCCACGCCGUAAAACACCCAACUUCUGAAUGUUGACCUCGAAUCAGGUAGGAAUACCCGCUGAACUUAAGCAUAUCAAUAAGCGGAGGA